GAAAAAGAAAACUGGUUACAACAGAAUGAUCUGAUCAAAUUAAUUUUGGGAUUACAGCAGGCCCUGAUCGUAUUUACAAAUCAGUAAAAUAGUAAUUUAAAAUAACUUUUACUAGGCAGUUCCUGCAAUACACCCGUAACUCCUGAUAAAAUGUUAGUGUGGCAAUAAUGCACACCAAAAAUUGUUUGGUGAAGACAAUAGUCUUAACUCUCAGUAACCCAUGAUUUAUUUUUGUGGAUCCUUAGAAGACCAUAACAAAUAAAUGUUAACUGCUCUGAGACAAAAAUAAGCACUUCUUUUUUUUAAUAGCUUCAGCAAAGAACACUGCAAGUAAUAAUAAAGAGAUGCCCACUGGAAUGCAGCCCUACCACCAAGCCACAAAAAUACAACAAUUGAUCUUCAUAUACAUUUUAAUGUCAAACUACAAGUGAGUAAAAUAUUUUGACAUUUACCAGGAGAGAGAGGUGAAAAAGCCAUAACCUGGCAAAGUUAAGUAGACUGUACUUGCCAAAAUUAGACAUUUGAAAACAACAAGCACACAUUCACCUCCUGACACUUGUUAAAAAAAGAAAGUUCAUUCUACUGACUAAAACAUAACAUCUGUAUUAUGACUCCAUUAUUUGCGUGACUUCCAUGGCUGAAUUCUUCCAGAGAUUUUGUAACAAUUAAACAAGUAAAUUUAAGAAUAACACACACCCAGAAAACAGAUUUACUUUUGUUAGUACUUCAGUCAGGAAAGUUUAUUGUGUAGUGAUGCACUAACCAGUUAUUUUAGUUUUUUCCAGCAAAUCCUGUAAUAAGUAACAUACUUUAUAAAAAGUAAAGUAAGAAUAAGAAAACUCAGUAACCUUGAUAAUGUUUGACAAGCAUUCUGAAACCCUAUUUUACCUUCAGAAUCUUUAGGUAAUUUAGCUGGAACCUGACUGUAACAUUAAAGUUCAAUAAGACUAA